rnacentral:rRNA from 1 species
GACGAACCGUGCGAACGUUGUUCGGAAUCACUGGGCUUAAAGGGCGCGUAGGCGGGCGAUCAAGUCAGGGGUGAAAUCUUUCGGCUCAACCGGAAAACAGCUUCUGAUACUGGUCGUCUUGAGUGAGGUAGGGGCAUGUGGAACUUCCGGUGGAGCGGUGAAAUGCGUAGAUAUCGGAAGGAACGCCGGUGGCGAAAGCGGCGCGCUGGACCCCGCCUGACGCUGAGGCGCGAAAGCCAGGGGAGCGAACGGG